GGCAAAGGCCAAUAAUGGCGGCGCCCAGUGGACGCUAUAAGAUUUUUCAAGUUUCUAGUUCUGAUGUCGGAAGACGUUUGCUGCUCACCGACAAACAUCAGGCCAAAAAUGGCUAUGCCCAAUGGCCAUUAAAGACCAAGAGAUCACCCUAGGGACCAAAUCGCUGGAAUUGGAUAGUUGGGAUAGCUCGUCCGGCCAAAUCCAAAUAUGAGUUUACUCUUGUUAAGUUCUGAGAGCUCAGUCAGUUAUGUUAGACGACCUUCACAUCCCAUCCAGAAGAACCAAGGGCCAACUGAUGUGGCCAAGCAGGCAUAAAGACACAUAUUCAAUCUAUUUAUCUUACAAUGUAAAAAUUGUUGUCAAUUACAAGC